AUGGGAACGCGAAGAACCUUACCUAGACUUGACAUCUCCUGAAUAGUGUAGAGAUACAUGAAGCCCUUCGGGCGAGAAGACAGGUGGUGCAUGGUUGUCGUCAGCUCGUGUCGUGAGAUGUUGGGUUAAGUCCCGCAACGAGCGCAACCCUUAUUACUAGUUGCUACCAUUAAGUUGAGCACUCUAGUGAGACUGCCCGGGGUUAACCGGGAGGAAGGCGGGGAGUGACGUCAAAUCAUCAUGCCCCUUAUGUCUAGGGCAACACACGUGCUACAAUGGUGAGUACAGAUAGAUGCGAUACCGCAAGGUGAGCCAAACUCUAAAACUCAUCCCAGUUCGGAUUGUAGGCUGCAACUCGCCUACAUG
rnacentral:rRNA from 1 species